AUACCGAUUUCCCGCAGGAACAAUGGCGCUGUCUUCAGUGGCACAGCGGAGCAGUUCUGUGAAGAUGCAAAGAUACACGAAAAAAAUUCCAGAACAUCUGGGAGAAUAUUUAAUGGAAAAUCGCUUGGUUAAAACCUGACACUUAACAGGGCUAGUGCCACGAGGUUUACUUGACUGUUGUGUGAAAAGCUGAUAAGAAAACCAUCCAGAAAACAGCUCUUCGUUUUACAAACAUGAAAAUAAAACAUGUAAUUUUG
rnacentral:lncRNA from 1 species